GUCGCUCCUACCGAUUUCGAGUGGUCCGGUGAACCUUUCGGACCGGAGGCGGCCUCGUGCCGCCACUGGAAAGUCAAGUAAACCACAUCACUUAGAGGAAGGAG
rnacentral:rRNA from 1 species